GCAUCUGCAAAGAGAGCUUGGUGAUAGACCUAGACUCAAUCUCCAGCAUUAACUAAAAUUGUAACUAGUUGUAUUUCCAUGAAUUUUUUACCAAAAAAAGAGAGACCACUCUCUUGAAGUGACUAAAGAAAAUAGUUACUUUAGAUUAAAAAACUUGAGGUGUGAAAUAAGUAAAUUAAACAGGAAACAAAGCACUGUAAGUAACACCCACUUGAAUUUGGGUUUCUCAAGUUCCCUGUGAAGCCAAGUGAAUGAUGCAUAAUUGCAUCUUAAAUUAGACUUUUGAAGUGAUUAACCUCCCUAGCGUUGCUUGUUUCAUGAAUAUAUUAUUUUUAAAUCAUCAAAACAUAUUUGUUGAGAAAUGUUAAAGACUUGGGUAUUUUAUGGAACUGUUUAAAUAGAAUUUAUAAGCACACUUAGAAAAAUCCUAAUAGAUUUUUUUAUGUUUUAUCCAAAUGAGUAUGCAUACUAUAGAAAAUUAUUCUAUAGUGGCUGAAGGAAGUAACCUAUAGACUAAAUAUAUGGGAUCGUAUCAUAUCCCACUUACAGAAGGCUCUCUCUUUAUCUCACAGAACAGAAAGACAGCAUGAGAACUGGGAGAGCUGAGAACAACUGUUGAACCAUGGAUGUAAUGAUCCCCUUCUUUCCAUCAGCAACAAUGGCAAAUCCUCUGUGCUGAAGACCACAUUUUCUCCCUGGAAAAAUGGAAAUGUUACUGUUUAGACACAGAUCCCUGAAAAUAUAUGUGAAAUCUAUGUACUGUGAAUUUUUAAUGAAGAAGGUAAACAGAACUAUUUAUUGUGAAAAAGAAAGGAAGAGGAAAUGCUGUGAACACUUGAUGUCUUCCUGAUGCCAUAUCAUUUGUUUGUGCUCUCAUAACCCAUAAAUUAUUGCAGAAGAUACAUUUAUCUAGUGAUACCUAAGAUUUUAGUGAAAAUGUCUCUUCUGGAUUGUCACUGUUGGGUUCAUAAUAAUUGUUGAUCUGUAAUAUUUAAAUGGAAAGAAAAUUUUGGGUCAUUUUCGACUGGAAGCAUCCUUGAGGCAUAUGUAAUGAAAAGUGAAACGACCUUCUGUCUCCAUUGACUUUUCUUCAAAUAUGUAUAAAAUGGUAUGAACAUUGAUUCUCUCACUCCUGGUUACCAGGAUGUAAUGCGGUUCUGACUGAACAAUUACAUCUAAUUUUGGACUUUUCUGUAAUGCAUCAUUCAUUUACAUUGUGUGAGGAAACAUCUCUCAGAUCAGAAGUAUGAACAUGUGUAAAUGUGCCAUAGAAUAACAUAUAUUACUGUACACAGUCAUCUAAUAAUAUGUAAUAAUAUACAUUAUCAUAUAUCUUCCUGGAAGAAUUAUCAAUUCCUACUCAAAGUUUAGGUUUAUAGGGGUCUUGACUUGCAGAAAACAUAUGUAUAUAAGUUCUAGACACAAAGUUAUUAAUUUACUCAAAUGUAUAUUUUAUUUUCUUUAGAUAGUUAACUUGAUCAAAAUUAUGUUUUUAAUAGGUAAAUGAAAACCCUUGUAUAAAUAUCACUUAUAUUGUAUUCUGUCAUCCUUAAACUUCUUUUUAUUCUUUAAGGUUUAUUUUUGUCAUUUUAAAUGUAUGUCCUUUUAUGUGUAUAUGUGUAGGUAAGCCAGUUCCUUGAACAUCCUGAGGCUUUAGACCCCCCAAAGGUGGAGUUAAAGGAUGUUGUAAGUCAUCUCACAUGGGUACUGGGAACUGAACUCAGCACCUAAGAAAGAACACUAUGUGUUCUAAAGACUCAGCUACACCCAGAAAAGUUUUAAUUUAUUAAUUAUUAUUAAUUGAAAUUAAUUGGCCUUCUAAGAUGUAUACUAUCAGCAGUAAGUUUAUUUAGUGGGAGAAUUACAAGUAGGUACCCUUAAAACUAUUACUAGACAGUUGAAUUCAAACUAGUAGAAUAAGUCCAAUUGGAAAAUUCAAUUCAAAUCACAAAGCACUACACAAAAGAAAUAAAACCCAGCCAACAUAACA
rnacentral:lncRNA from 1 species